AUUGAACGCUGGCGGCAGGCCUAACACAUGCAAGUCGAGCGGAUGAGUGGAGCUUGCUCCAUGAUUCAGCGGCGGACGGGUGAGUAAUGCCUAGGAAUCUGCCUGGUAGUGGGGGACAACGUUUCGAAAGGAACGCUAAUACCGCAUACGUCCUACGGGAGAAAGUGGGGGAUCUUCGGACCUCACGCUAUCAGAUGAGCCUAGGUCGGAUUAGCUAGUUGGGGAGGUAAAGGCUAACCAAGGCGACGAUCAGUAACUGGUCUGAGAGGAUGAUAAGUCACACUGGAACGGAGACACGGUCCAGACUACUACGGGAGGCAGCAGUGGGGAAUAUUGGACAAUGGGCGAAAUCCUGAUCCAGCCAUGCCGCGGGUGUGAAGAAGGUCUUCGGAUUGUAAAGCACUUUAAGUUGGGAGGAAGGGCAGUAAGUUAAUACCUUGCUGUUUUGACGUUACCAACAGAAUAAGCACCGGCUAACUUCGUGCCAGCCGCCGCAGUAACAC
rnacentral:rRNA from 1 species